rnacentral:lncRNA from 1 species
GAUCUUGGUGUGCGGGGUCACGUCCUUGUCGCAGCGGCGCUGGGUGCAGCCGCCGCCGCCCGUCGAGUUCCUCGGCUCCUCGCAGGUGGGGUCACGGAGCACAUAGGUGGAGUAGUCCUCGUCGAACUUCUCGCCCUCGCACGUCUCGAAGAGGUAGCACUCCUUCUCUUUGACGUCAUAGGCGUAGGUGGUGCAAGUGAAGUCAGUGUGCUUCUUGCACUUGUCCUCACACUGGUCCAGGGUGCAGUCGGUGGUGCCUGGCGUGUCGUCGGUGCAGAUCUUGUUGUGCUUUGAGAUAUCCUUAUCGCACCUGCGCUUCUCGCAGCCUAGAGGGGCCUUGGCGCGGGUCUUUUCGCACGUCGGGUCUUCCAUUGCAUAGGUGGUGUAGUCCGCGUCAAACUUGUCGUUUUUGCAGCCGGCGAAGAUGUAGCAUUCCUUCUCUGCUACGUCGUAGGCCCAGUGCGUGCACUUGUUGCCC